AUGCAGGUACUGUUACGAUAUGACUGAAGUGAUUUGUUAUCAUUUCCCUGCUUAAAGCACUUGAUAUAUAACUAUCUCUGUCUAACUCAUUCCACAGUAAGACAGAGAUGCUUGGUUUCAUUUUU
rnacentral:snoRNA from 1 species